rnacentral:lncRNA from 1 species
CUCCAGGGCUCCCUGCAGCACUCUCAAAUGAGGUUUGCCACUCUUGGGAGCAACAGACACAUGUCUGUGGCCUCUGCUCACUUGUGUCUAUCCCGAUGCAGGACUCCGACAUGAUGAAUAUGAUUGCGUUUAGAGGCAAAAACAAAUUUACUCGAUGCAGUGAGGAAGGCUGUAUCAUACUGCCAAGGUGAGCACAACCAUUCCUGCAGCAUCCAGUCGGCCAAGGAAGCAGUUGCUCAGCUCAUGCUUUGUGGCAGCUUCUUGCCGAGGCCUCUCUCCUGGCAAUGUUGUUGUUAGGCAAGAGCAGCCCUUCUCUGGCAGAGCUCCCAUUUGGCCCAUGGCUCGAUCCACCCAGACAUAGCAGUCUAAUGGGGCCGGUCUGUGGCCGUGGGCCCUGAGUGAGAGAGGGGGGAGGAGGGUGUGUGGACAGCGAGGAGGAUCCCCCUGUUAAGGGCUAGGCGACAGAAGUUUGGGGGCUGAAGUUGAUGGAGAAUGGAGGGCCCCUCAGCUCCCACAGAGAGUCCUCCAAGGGCUUGGCACUGGCUCCCAAGGAGCCCUGCCAGCAGUUUCUCUGUGUCAGACACUGAGGAAGCUUGGUGGCCUUCUUGCCCACUGGUGUCUUCUUGUUUCCAGAAUUGUAGUUGAGGGCUCGAAGACAUAUGAAGGCACAACUUCCCUCAAGCCCCGAAGAGAGUCGCAGCCAUGGGGCGAAGGUGCCCGUAGAGUGAGCGUGUAUGAUCCGGUGAUGCUGGCUCGGCGCAGGGCAUCGCAAGUCAUGAUGUCACAGAAAAGACGCAAGGAGCUAGAGAAGAAAAAGCAAAGGGUUAAAUUCAGGUGAGCCUCCUGGAGAAGU